GCUGUAAAAAGAAUGAAGAAGCACAAUGUAGCCAGCAUGGCAUCAGAAGGAACUGGUGCUGGCUGAUUUUUCACAUUCCAUGUUCCUGAUGAUGCAGCAAUUAUCAGCAGCAUUCUUUAUGGAAAAAAUACGUCCAAUACUAUCAGAAGACAGUUCAGUAUGAGGGAGAAUUUUGUAAGCAACACAGAACUGACACGGAAGCAACCGCAAGGACACAACAGUGGGUAUGAGAAACAAACCCCUCAUGGCUUUCUGCAAGUGCUGGCCUUCUCCCUCACUGCCCUCCACACACAAAUUUGAAUAGCUGGCUUGUUCCAAACCUCAGCAAAAAGAAAAGAAGAAAAGAAGAGGGGGGGAAACUUCACACCUUCCUCGCUUUUCCUGCAAGUUGCUCUAAAAUGUAUCUGGUGCACUCUGGUGGCUGCUUUGGUAAUUCUUAAUGUGAUGAAUGCAAAAGGUGAAACAGUAAUUACUGAUGCCGUUUUUGAGAUUAUCCAUAUGAAGACUAAUGAGCAUAUGAAUUUAUUCCAGUUUAUUCAGUUUGAUUUUUCUUGAACGCAACCCCUGGAGAAAUUCAGGUCUCGCCCAUCACAGCCCAUCUGUUUACCUUAUGAAAAUCACAGGGAGUUUUGAUUGCAUGAGGUUCUCAUCUCAUCUGCUUUAAUGUUUUCACUCAUGGUCAGACAGCUGCUGAAUUUUACCCAGAGGCAUAUCAGUUUCAGUAGUGGUAAUUUAUCCACAUUUAUUUGCUGUGUGACCUUGCACAAUCCUCAUACCCAUGCUUGCCUCCCUUCUCCUGUCCAUAUAACGGGGCUAAUAAUACCUAACUAUUUAUGAAGGUUAUUCACCAUACGUUGAAUUGCAUUAAAAGGUACCAAAAGUGCAGUGUAUUACUUCUUGUUGCUUUACUAUUAUGACUUUUUUUUUUUUUGGUGUGUGAUUUAAAAGGGAUAAAAUGGCAUGGGUUUCUGUAUCCAGGAGCACAGAGAACAAAUAAUAAAUCUUUUACACUUUGCAGUAUCUCAACAUGAGGUAUAGGACUUUAGAGGAAAAC